rnacentral:rRNA from 1 species
UACAGAGGGUGCGAGCGUUACUCGGAAUUACUGGGCGUAAAGCGCACGUAGGCGGAUUUGUAAGUCAGGGGUGAAAUCCCGGGGCUCAACCUCGGAACUGCCUUUGAUACUGCAAAUCUCGAGUCCGAGAGAGGUGGGUGGAAUUCCUAGUGUAGAGGUGAAAUUCGUAGAUAUUAGGAAGAACACUGGUGGCGAAGGCGGCCCACUGGAUCGGUACUGACGCUGAGGUGCGAAAGCGUGGGGAGCAAACAGG